CAGCCGCCGCGGUAAUACGAAGGGGGCUAGCGUUGCUCGGAAUGACUGGGCGUAAAGGGCGCGUAGGCGGAUUGUUUAGUUAGGCGUGAAAUUCCUGGGCUUAACCUGGGGACUGCGCUUAAUACAGGCAGUCUAGAGUGAGGAAGAGGGUUGUGGAAUUCCCAGUGUAGAGGUGAAAUUCGUAGAUAUUGGAAAGAACACCGGUGGCGAAGGCGGCGACCUGGUCUUUAACUGACGCUGAGGCGCGAAAGCGUGGGGAGCAAACAGGAUUAGAGACCCCCGUAGUCCCUGUCUCUUAUAC
rnacentral:rRNA from 1 species